ACAAACUUGGUCAUUUAGAGGAAGUAAAAGUCGUAACAAGGUUUCCGUAGGUGAACCUGCGGAAGGAUCAUUAAUAAAUGUUCUUUCAUUUAACCUAAAUGUGCAUUGUAUCUUUACCAGAAGCUUAGUUGGUUUGUGGCCUAAACGUUUGAGUAGGUUAGCGGCCCCCGUAAAAAAGGGGUACGAUCGCUGGUUUGAUUAAUUCAGUAGUCUCUACUACUGAAUUAUGAUAAUAGGUGAUCCCUCCUCUUACAACCUGGCGUGAAGCCUGCUAGCUUGUAAAUAUUAACAUAAAACAUAUAUUAUACUAGUCAUAAUUUCUGAUUAUUAGUUUAUUAUAAAUUAUUAAAAAAACUUUUAACAAUGGAUCUCUUGGCUCUUGCAUCGAUGAAGAACGCAGC
rnacentral:misc_RNA from 1 species